AAUGAACGCUGGCGGCAUGCCUUACACAUGCAAGUCGAACGGCAGCAUGGCCUAGCUUGCUAGGUUGAUGGCGAGUGGCGAACGGGUGAGUAAUGCAUCGGAACGUGCCUUUUAGUGGGGGAUAACGUAGCGAAAGUUACGCUAAUACCGCAUAUUCUCUGAGGAGGAAAGCAGGGGGCCUUCGGGCCUUGCGCUAGAAGAGCGGCCGAUGUCGGAUUAGCUAGUUGGUGAGGUAAAGGCUCACCAAGGCAACGAUCCGUAGCGGGUCUGAGAGGAUGAUCCGCCACACUGGGACUGAGACACGGCCCAGACUCCUACGGGAGGCAGCAGUGGGGAAUUUUGGACAAUGGGCGCAAGCCUGAUCCAGCCAUGCCGCGUGAGUGAAGAAGGCCUUCGGGUUGUAAAGCUCUUUCGGCUGGGAAGAAAUCGCACUCUCUAAUACAGGGUGUGGAUGACGGUACCAGCAUAAGAAGCACCGGCUAACUACGUG
rnacentral:rRNA from 1 species